CCUACGGGAGGCAGCAGUGGGGAAUAUUGGUCAAUGGCCGGAAGGCUGAACCAGCCAAGUCGCGUGAGGGACGACUGCCCUAUGGGUUGUAAACCUCUUUUAUAAGGGAAGAAUAAAUGCUACGUGUAGCAUGAUGCCUGUACCUUAUGAUUAAGCAUCGGCUAACUCCGUGCCAGCAGCCGCGGUAAUACGGAGGAUCCGAGCGUUAUCCGGGUUUAUUGGGUUUAAAGGGUGGGGAGGGGGCUUUUUAAGUUAGUUGGUAAAGGUUGGGGGUCAACCCUCGUUCUGCCUUUAAAACUGGAAGACUCGAGUUCAGACGAGGUAGGCGGAAUAAGUUAAGUAGCGGUGAAAUGCUUAGAUAUAACGUAGAACUCCGAUAGCGAAGGCAGCUUACUGGACUGCAACUGACGCUGAGGCACGAGAGCGUGGGUAGCAAACAGGAUUAGAUACCCUUGUAGUC
rnacentral:rRNA from 1 species